GGUCAAAGAGGGGGACCUUCGGGCCUCUCGCGUCAGGAUAUGCCUAGGUGGGAUUAGCUAGUUGGUGAGGUAAUGGCUCACCAAGGCGACGAUCCCUAGCUGGUCUGAGAGGAUGAUCAGCCACACUGGAACUGAGACACGGUCCAGACUCCUACGGGAGGCAGCAGUGGGGAAUAUUGCACAAUGGGCGCAAGCCUGAUGCAGCCAUGCCGCGUGUGUGAAGAAGGCCUUCGGGUUGUAAAGCACUUUCAGUCGUGAGGAAGGUAGUGUAGUUAAUAGCUGCAUUAUUUGACGUUAGCGACAGAAGAAGCACCGGCUAACUCCGUGCCAGCAGCCGCGGUAAUACGGAGGGUGCGAGCGUUAAUCGGAAUUACUGGGCGUAAAGCGCAUGCAGGUGGUUUGUUAAGUCAGAUGUGAAAGCCCGGGGCUCAACCUCGGAAUAGCAUUUGAAACUGGCAGACUAGAGUACUGUAGAGGGGGGUAGAAUUUCAGGUGUAGCGGUGAAAUGCGUAGAGAUCUGAAGGAAUACCGGUGGCGAAGGCGGCCCCCUGGACAGAUACUGACACUCAGAUGCGAAAGCGUGGGGAGCAAACAGGNUUAGAUACCCUGGUAGUCCACGCCGUAAACGAUGUCUACUUGGAGGUUGUGGCCUUGAGCCGUGGNUUUCGGAGCUAACGCGUUAAGUAGACCGCCUGGGGAGU
rnacentral:rRNA from 1 species